UAGUCUGAUUAGUGUGUGUCUUAAAAUUAAGAUUCGUGAGGAAAGUCCGAGCUUCAUAGGGCGAAAUGCCGGGUAACGCCCGGCGGAGGCGACUCCAGGGAUAGUGCAACAGAAAUAAACCACCGGUUUUCCGGUAAGGGUGGAAAGGCGAGGUAAAAGCUCACCGCUUGAUUGGCAACAAUCAAGGCUCUGUAAACCCCAUUUGAAGCAAGAUCAAAUAAAAGCCGGGGCUGCCCGUCCCUUUGCUUUUGGUAAGAUCGCAUGAGCGCGUUCGGCGACGAACCGCCAAGAUAGAUGGCUGCCUUUAACAGAACUCGGCUUAUAGACUCGGUCAAAAUC
rnacentral:RNase_P_RNA from 1 species